CUAAUUUGCGGUUAAAAGUUGUAGCAUCAAUUGAAACUGCAUCUAAGGUACAAUUUCGAUUUUUGUAUGGAAUCGUGUAUAUAUUAGAAUACAUAAGAAUUACAGUUUUAGUUUUUAAAUUUUGUUGUUACUAUUUUUUUUAGAUUGGAUAUUGUAUUGUCUCUUACAAAUAUAACUAUUCAAAUGAUUUAAUAGAACUUCAUUCAAGUAUUUUGAUAUUUCGGUGUAUGAUGGUUGAUAUUUUCUUGGAUUUUUAGCUAGUUUUAGAUAUUUUUUUUGUUAGAGAUUUAUUCUAUUGGUGUGCGUAUGUGAACAUAUCAUUACACUAUUGUGAGUGACAACAUCUACAAUUGUUGAAAUAACGAUAUUAAUAAUGGUAAUAUAAUGUCUUUGUCGUAAUAAUUUAUAAGGGGAAUAACAAUAAUAGUUAAAUUUCGUAUAUAUAAUGUAGGGACAUACAUGCAAGUGAUGGAAGUAAGGAGGCCCAUCGACAUGAAACGAGAGGGAGAGAUUAUAUCGUUGUCUCACCAAAAACAGACAGCUCUUCUCUCAUCUUCUUAAUUUCCCCUGUUUCUUUUUCUGUUCUAAAAUUGUUUUGCUUAUAACCUAUUUUUUUCUUGGUUAAAUAAUCCAUGUAGAGAAAGUAGAUUUUUACCAUCAACGAC
rnacentral:lncRNA from 1 species